AUCACGUGGGUAAACAGUCGCUAAUUUGUUGACUAGUUUGAACGACAUCAGUAUCAUUGCGAAUGAUCUAUUAUUUUUAUUUUCGCCUCUCUUUUUACUUUUUUUUUGUUUCAUACUUUUAAAGGUAUAAUGACAGGUUGUUGCGCAUUUGGGUAAUAAAAUAAAUCAAAUUUAGGCUUUAAAUUAUAUUGUUUACUUGUUGAAGAUCAUAAGAAGAAACGACGGAAAAUAUGUACGGAUAGAAUUCACAGAGAUUAAUGGAAUCCAAAUGAAAACAGUUGAUUGUGUGAGUUUCCGUACUUUUUCUGGAAGAUUUGAAGGCAACAUUGAAGCAUUUUGAUGCAUGCAGGAAACAUAUAGCCCGACGCAUGUGCAAUGCUUUGGACAAACAAGAUCUGAAAUUAAAAAUUUUAGAUGCCUAAUUGAUCUGCACGCAAACAGUCUUGGAAGAAACACAGUGGUCCUUCAAUCUUUCAGGUAUACAGCAAUGAUCAAAAGUCUUUCUAGUGUUAAAUGUAUAUAAAUAAAAUUGCGUGUCAAAAAUAAAACAGUGUACUUAGUUAAUUAGUAUUAAGGCGUAUUGUGUUUGACUUAGUAUAUUUGUAUUCAUUUUCGUCGGAGAUAAACUAAAAUAAUAUUCACUAAAUUUAGAAAUAAUAGAAAAAUCUAGA